GUGGGGAAUUUUGGACAAUGGGCGCAAGCCUGAUCCAGCAAUGCCGCGUGCAGGAAGAAGGCCUUCGGGUUGUAAACUGCUUUUGUACGGAACGAAACGGUCCGGGUUAAUACCCUGGGCUAAUGACGGUACCGUAAGAAUAAGCACCGGCUAACUACGUGCCAGCAGCCGCGGUAAUACGUAGGGUGCAAGCGUUAAUCGGAAUUACUGGGCGUAAAGCGUGCGCAGGCGGUUUUGUAAGACAGGCGUGAAAUCCCCGGGCUCAACCUGGGAAUCGCGCUUGUGACUGCAAGGCUGGAGUGCGGCAGAGGGGGAUGGAAUUCCGCGUGUAGCAGUGAAAUGCGUAGAUAUGCGGAGGAACACCGAUGGCGAAGGCAAUCCCCUGGGCCUGCACUGACGCUCAUGCACGAAAGCGUGGGGAGCAAACAGGAUUAGAUACCCUAGUAGUCC
rnacentral:rRNA from 1 species